rnacentral:rRNA from 1 species
ACGGAGGGUGCAAGCGUUAAUCGGAAUUACUGGGCGUAAAGCGCACGCAGGCGGCCUGUUAAGUCAGGUGUGAAAUCCCCCGGCUCAACCUGGGAACUGCCUCUGAUACUGGGAAGCUUGAGUCCUGUAGAGGGGGGUAGAAUUCCAGGUGUAGGGGUGAAAUGCGUAGAGAUCAGGAGGAAUACCGGUGGCGAAGGCGGCCACCUGGACAAGGACUGACGCUCAGGUGCGAAAGCGUGGGGAGCAAACAG